AUGGCGAAGGUUGCGGGAGACGAGAGAGGAAAGGAGCUACGCGCAUGCGCGGCAAGCGGCCGCCUGGGCUACGCUUUCGAUUCUCCUCAGCUCGCGGGCGGAAUUUGCUGAGGCGUCUGAGGGGAAUGGAAAGCGAACCUGGAGCGCGAAGGGACAUUCCUCCCCUCCGCACCCUCGUGGGCUCUGAGUUUCCUGGAAGCGGCUGGGAUUCCCUUAAACCCCCUCAGGGGACGCCACAAGAUUGCUUGUAGGGUGUGAUUCGGCCCUGAACCAAAUAUAUUUUUAAACCUCUCGGCUUUCAAUGGUGCUUUGUGAUCGUGCUUGGGGGUUGCGUUUAAAAAUAAAAAAAACACCGAACGGUCCAGGUGCAAGUUCUGCUAUGUCCAAAGGCACUUGUCUACUCGAGAGUAGACCUCACUAAAUUCAGUAGGGUUUACUGCCAGUGAAGUGAGCAGAAAAUGGCAGCCUCGGCGCGACACUAUAAAGUCCUAACGUUUCCAACUAUAACCUCCAUAAAAUGUGCUCUGGGGAAACGUAAUUCUAAAAUACAGACGCACACACUUUUUUUACUAAAGAAAUGUUUAGGGAUAAUCCCCUUUUCCUAUCAUACUGAAAUACUGCCCCUCAGUGAGGCCAAACUUAAAUUCACAAAAUGUUUAGGAGUAUGCGUACUCCCAGAGAAAAGCACUGUGUGUGUGUGUACAGUGGUACCUCAGGUUACAUACACUUCAAGUUACAGACUCCGCUAACCCAGAAAUAGUACCUCAGGUUAAGAACUUUACCUCAGGAUGAGAACAGAAAUCGCGCGGCAGCGGGAGACCCCAUUAGCUAAAGUGGUGCUUCAGGUUAAGAACAGUUUCAGGUUAAGAACGGACCUCCGGAACGAAUUAAGUUCUUAACCCGAGGUACCACUAUUCGAAAUCUGUUGUGAUGGCUAGGUAUCCAAAACAGGGCUAAUGCAAAAUAGGAGGACAUGUUUGGGGGAGGAACUCCAGAUUUGCAGAACAACUUUGCAGAAAAACCUUUGUGCCAUUGCAGAACUGGGGCUCUGGUAGUUGGAAUGGAGUAUCCUGAAAACGGCAUGGCUGGGCACAGAAAUCAGGGCCUUUUCAGUCAUGGCAAAGGGUACUUGGGGAAGGCCCUUGCCAGGGAAGCCCAUCCAGCCCAUCAUAAAUUUUGCUAGUUGUGUGAAAUAUAAUUGUUUCUGAAAUAUACUCAGAGUUGCAAAGUGAUUUCAUGCUCUUUAUUCAGCUCAUAGUGGUGAGGAGGAAUGAAUGAAAGUCCCCUCAAAGUAUCUGCUUUAUAUACAUUAUUUACACAAUGGGCUGCACAUGAUUGGCUAUUUCCGGAAUUCUACUGUAAGCCAAUCAGGUUGUGGAUUCACUUCUAUCUGGAGCAUGAUUGGGUGGUUCCUGCCAACCAAUCAUACUGCUGCAUUGUUCUAGGACCAAUCAGACUGCUGCAGUUUGGAUCCUAUUCAACUCAGUACAUAACAGUUUCCAAAUUACAUUCCUCUCCCCACCUUUGCUUCCUGACCCCAUACUAGUUUUCCUACCUGUUCUCAGACAUUAUUUUAAAAUAGUUGGCUUGCUCUGUUUAAACUCUCCAAUUGAUUCUGUUCUACAUCUGAAGUAAGCUAAUUCCCUUUUUGAUAUAAUAAAUUUACUUGGGAUUGAUCUUCCUGUCGACACUUGGGGUGCCAUCUUUCAGAGCACAUCCAGCCAUCGCUGUGGAAAAAUCCCUAGAACUGAGUGUUAGGAUUGCAUGUGAGAACUGCAGGCUUCCAUGCAAACUGCACACUUCGUAACAGGAAGUAGCCACUGCUGAGCAUAGCACAAAACACACUAAAAUGAGUCAGUUCCUAUUUGUAGUGGUUUCAGCAAAAUCAACAAGUAAAUCUCGUGGCACGUUAGAGUCUACCAAAUUAAUUAUGGCCCACAUAUACUGUGGACUACAGUGCACAUUUGUGAAAUUUGUGGCCCUCCAGAUGCUGUUGGAUUCCACAUCCCAUCAGCCCCAGCCAGAAGGAUCAAAAGUUAUGGAUGAUAGGAGUUAUAGUCGAGUCAUCUGGAAGACACCAUGUUGACAACCACUGUUCAACCCUUUACUUGAAAGAAAUAAUCCUAUUAACCACACACUGUUGCUGUUUUCUGUUGUUAACAACGUAGCAUAACCAUUUUUGGACAUUCUUUCUGCCAAGAGGGGCUGAAAGGGGAGAUGCUUUGCAUUUAUGUGGCACAAAGGCAACAUUUUCAGCAGUGAGAACAACCUUUUUCAUUUGGUUGUUUGAUGUGGCUAUCGAGAAAUCAAAGCCCAAAAGAUCAAAAGAUUACGGUAUUAAAGGAAGAUUAUUGUGCUUCAGUUUAAUGGAAAAUACUCCGCACAAGCUUUAAAAAACACACAAAAACACAUUGCAUCCCAACUUUAUGAACAGUAGUUUGCUCUUUAAUCCACUUAUAACCUCUUGGGACAUUAUCAGGAGUCCUUUAGGUGUGCAGAAGGGGUUCCUCGCAUACUCUGCCAUCUAGCUUAAGCUUACCCUCCAUGCAGCCUAUAAACACUACCUGGUGUCGCUAUGCAAAUUUCUUCUUCCAAAAAUCCUCAGGGGAUUGUCAAAAAGUAAGCAGAGCAGCUAUUACCAAAGAAGAAACAGUUUGCAAUCCUAACUCUUGACUACAGUGGGAUUUAAUUUGGAGCAGGUGUGGGGAACGUUUUGCCCACCAGAUGUUGAUAAACUACAAGUACUAUCAUCCCUGACCAUUGACCACGUUUACUGAGACUGAUGGGCUUUGUAGCUCAGCCACAUUUAGAGGGCGAAAGGUUUCCUAAUGCUGAUUUUGAAUAAAAUUGUUUAGGACUGGACAUGCAGCUUGUUUGCAGUCUUCAGGGUGGUAGCCUAGGAUUACCUUCUGCUUGUUGACUCCUUUUCUUCUUACUUCACAGACAACAGUAGUCAUGGUGCUGCCUCCAGGGUGGAGCUGCUGCAAACUUCAGGUGCUAACGCACAUUCCCCACAUAUUUCUUCUAGGGCGUAUGACAUUGACUCACAACAAAAUUGACUGUAGGCAUCUUGUUAUGCAUGGUGGUUGUGUUGCCAGCGCUUAAAGUAAUGGCGUGUUGCUGUUAAUCCAUUGACUCCGCAAUGUUGCCAGUCACAAUGGGAAGCACAUGGUUCUCCUCAAACAGCCUUUGGUGAGUCAUCCCUGUAGUCUCUUCUACACCAAAGGCUUGUUGGACUUGCAGGGGUGAGAAAAGUUCAGCGAGAAAGAGAAAGGUAUUCCUUCGUUUUAUCACCUCCCUGAAGUGUUCUGAGCUUGGUCAAGAUAAGUCUCCCUCAGGUAAACAUUCAGUCUCAAAGAAAUGUCUCUUUAUGGUCUUCCCUUCACAAAUACAAGCCUUGUUGAACAAGAUGAAAAUGGCAGGAAUUGCCUUGAGGGAGCAUU